rnacentral:lncRNA from 1 species
AUCCGAGCUGCGUCUGCAAUCUACACAGUCACAGCAACACUGGAUCCUUAACCCACUGAGCAAGGCCAGGGAUCGAACCUGCAACUUCAUGGUUCCUAGUCAGAUUCAUUAACUACUGCGCCGUGGUGGGAACUCCUGUUUUGAUAUUUCUUAUCCUGGGAUUGAACUUCUUGAACCUGUAGGUUUCAACAAAUUUAGGAAAAGUCUGGCCAUUAUUUCUUUAAAUAUUUUUUCUGUUCCCACUUCCAUGAACUUAACUAAUGAGUCUAUUAGUGGUUGUCCCACAGCUCACUGAUGCUGUGUUCAUUUUUUGGCGUUGUUUUGUCUUUUCUCUCUGCAUUUCAUUUUGGCAAGUUUCUCUUGCUGGGUCUUCAGAUUCAUGAAUCUUUUCUUCUGAGUUGUCUGAUCUAUUAAAACCAUCCAGUGUGUGUUUUUCGUCUCAGACAUUGUAAGUUUUUAUCUAGAUCUACAGUGUAUCUCUUUAAGGUGCUGGAUCCUUCUGGAACAUGUGGGAUACAGUUAUGACUUGUAAUAUCCUUGGGUACUAAUCUAUCACAUGUAAUCAUUUCCAGGUCGGUUUCAGUGGAUGAAUUUCUCUUUUCAUUAUGGGUCAUCCUGUCCAGCUUCUUUGCAUUGAUGUUGAUUUUUUAAUGGGAUUUUAUCUUGGAUAUUUUUGUAUUCCUAUAAAUAUUCUUUUUGUUUGUUUGUUUGCUUGCUUGCUUUUUAGGGCCAUACCUGUGGCAUAUGGAGGUUCCCAGACUAGGGGUCGAAUAAGAGCGACAGCUGUCAGCCAACACCACAGCCAUGGCCAUGCCAGAUCCAGACCGUGUCUGCGACCUAUACCAUAGCUCAUGGCAAUGACAGAUCCUUAACCCACCGAUCGAGAUCAGGGAUCAAACCUGCAUCCUCAUGAAUCCUAGCCGGGUUCUUUACUGCUGAGCCACAACGGGAACUCCCCUAAAUAUUCUUGAGCUUUUUUCUGGGAUGUGGUAUUGGGAGACAGUUUGGCUUUUUCAGGGCAGGUUUAUCAAAGCUUUGUUGGUCAGGUCAGAACAGCAUUUAGUUUCCAGCCAGUUUUGCCCCAUUAUUGAGGCAAAACCCUCCGAGAACCCUUCCUGAACCCCCUCCCUGUGUUAUACGGUUUUCCACUCCAGCUGGUGGGAACAGGAACUAUUCUUAGCCCUGUGAUACCUUUGGCUGAUUCCUUCUCCACCCUCAGGCACUUAGCUCACACUCACGUGCUGUGACUCCUGGGGGCCUCAGCAGAGCUCCAGAGCUUGCUCUGUGCAACUCCGUCCUCUCUGCUACUCUGCUCUGCAAACUAGCUGUCCCACCUCCCAGCGAGACUGCUGGGUGCUGCUGGGUAUCCACUCUGCACUGUAGCCUGGAAACUCCAGGUGGGAAGCUGGGGCAACUGAGGUGCUCGUUUGAUGAGAAAGCUCAGGAGCCACUGUCCCUCAUUGCCUAACUAGGUCCAGUGUCUUGAAAACCAUUGCUUCAGAUAUUUUGUCUGGACCUUUCGUGGUGAAUUGACUCCUGUCACUCCAUCUUGGCUGGAACCCUCCUGAGUUUAUAACUCAGGUCUGGGGUGUGGAGAAGCCCAUUAAAGGAACAGCCAGCAACCUACUAAAUGAGGGAAUUCUUUCAUGUUUGUAGAUGGGGGCCUGAAACAUCAUCAUCUCCCCCCAACUCACCAGAUUUUUAGUGCCUAAAAAAAGAUUCAUUUCAUUAAAGGAUUUCUUUAGGGAUUUUUGCUCUGGCUUGGCUCUUCUUUAGUAUCAAAUACUUUUUAGUUCUAUGAACUCACAAUCUAGAUAAAAAUAGCUAACAUGUGGCAUUCCUGUCGUG